rnacentral:rRNA from 1 species
GACGAACGCUGGCGGCGUGCUUAACACAUGCAAGUCGAACGGAAAGGCCCUGCUUUUGUGGGGUGCUCGAGUGGCGAACGGGUGAGUAACACGUGAGUAACCUGCCCUUGACUUUGGGAUAACUUCAGGAAACUGGGGCUAAUACCGGAUAGGAGCUCCUGCUGCAUGGAGGGGGUUGGAAAGUUUCGGCGGUUGGGGAUGGACUCGCGGCUUAUCAGCUUGUUGGUGGGGUAGUGGCUUACCAAGGCUUUGACGGGUAGCCGGCCUGAGAGGGUGACCGGCCACAUUGGGACUGAGAUACGGCCCAGACUACUACGGGAGGCAGCAGUGGGGAAUAUUGCACAAUGGGCGGAAGCCUGAUGCAGCAACGCCGCGUGCGGGAUGACGGCCUUCGGGUUGUAAACCGCUUUCGCCUGUGACGAAGCGUGAGUGACGGUAAUGGGUAAAGAAGCACCGGCUAACUACGUG